AGUAUCCGCAGUAUCCGCAGCCCCGCGCCCAGGAAAACGAGGAGUUCCUAGGACUGCGGAAAGCAAUGGGUGCCGAGAGGGCUGCAAACCCAGGGCGAGGCUUCCACGUGCCACCGCGUUGCCACUCUGGCGCGGCCCGUAGCCAAGGGCCGGAGGGGCGGGGGGCUUAGGUGGUGGCGUCCCCCUUCGAACGCCCUAGGAUGAUGCGACCUUAGCUCCCGGCUGGAAGUGGGGUGAAUGCUCGGUCGGGAGACGCCUCCUUUCACGCUCUAAGUUCUGAGGACGUAGUGACCCCAAAAGUCACUGGAGCGCCCUGAGUGCUGACGUCGGCUCCGCCUCUCCCCCUAAUCAGUAAAGCAGAGAAAGAACGUGAGGAAGCGGCCUUAACUCCUGUCCAGGUGCGGAGAUUCGGAGAUUCGAGGAGUCUUCUCCUCAGAGGAGGAGGGAUUAGCCCGCCUCAGAGACACCCCUUAGGUCCGCCUCCCACCCAUCCCCACCAGGUGUUUCAGCCAUCUUUCCUGUGUUCUUCCAUCAUCUGGUGUGAAAUCCCCCCCAGUCUGGGUGCUUCCUUGGUUCUUAGCAGUUUAUAUCUUCCUUCUCUUGCUCCCCUGCUCUCCAGUCCAGAAGAAACCACUGGAAAGUCCUGGAGCUCCAUGCUUGACAGAAGGUUGACAUGCUCUGGAGGGGACUAGUUUGGGUUCAAAAACCAAGUAACCAUCCUGGUCCCACAGAGACCACGUGUUCUGGAUGGUGUCCAGUAAGAAACGAGAGGGCAGCUUGCUUCGGACUUGAUUGAGGGGACCCACACAAGCCACCUCCUUUAUCUGUGUUUCACGUUGCCCUUCAUCCAUAACGCCAGUUAACCGUGGGUCGUCCUGCUCGUGCAAUCCAACAAGUACUUUGGAUUAAGAUAAAGCUUAUCCAUACGCGAUGCCCAUGAUGAGAAUCUUGUGAAGACGGAUGCAGUUUCUCUGGCCAACCAGAAGGACCUUGUGUGGAGCACAGGGGUGCGUGUGGGGCUCACUGCUAAUACGGAGCGCUUGCAGAGUCUCCGUGCUCACACUGGUCAGCACCGAGGCCACAAACCAUCCACAGUCUCCUGGCUAGGAUCCGAGCACAGCGGCUUCGACCCGAGCUUCAACAAGAGUCUACAUCUUGGAAUCAGUGAUCGUUUCAGGACAGAAACCUGCUUUCCCCUGUGCUUGGGCGAGCUGACCUCGAUCCGGUGUGGUGAUCGUGUGAAUACCACAGUAUAUUCCGCAGAGGUGGAGAGGAGCAUAUUACCAGAGGUAACAGCCUGGGUA
rnacentral:lncRNA from 1 species